rnacentral:sRNA from 1 species
CUGAGGCCCAGCCCCCUUCGCCCGUUUCCAUCACGAGUGCCGCCAGCAUGUCUGACAAACUGCCCUACAAAGUCGCUGACAUCGGCCUGGCUGCCUGGGGACGCAAGGCCCUGGACAUUGCCGAGAAUGAGAUGCCGGGCCUGAUGCGUAUGCGGGAGCGGUACUCGGCCUCCAAGCCACUGAAGGGCGCCCGCAUCGCUGGCUGCCUGCACAUGACCGUGGAGACGGCCGUCCUCAUUGAGACUCUCGUCACCCUGGGUGCUGAGGUGCAGUGGUCCAGCUGCAACAUCUUCUCCACCCAGGACCAUGCGGCGGCUGCCAUUGCCAAGGCUGGCAUUCCGGUGUAUGCCUGGAAGGGCGAAACGGAUGAGGAGUACCUGUGGUGCAUUGAACAGACCCUGUACUUCAAGGACGGACCCCUCAACAUGAUUCUGGAUGAUGGGGGUGACCUCACCAACCUCAUCCACACCAAGUACCCACAGCUCCUGCCAGGCAUCCGAGGCAUCUCUGAGGAGACCACGACUGGGGUCCACAACCUCUACAAGAUGAUGGCCAAUGGGAUCCUCAAGGUGCCUGCCAUCAAUGUCAACGACUCCGUCACCAAGAGCAAGUUUGACAACCUCUAUGGCUGCCGGGAGUCCCUCAUAGAUGGCAUCAAGCGGGCCACAGAUGUGAUGAUUGCCGGCAAGGUAGCGGUGGUAGCAGGCUAUGGCGAUGUGGGCAAGGGCUGUGCCCAGGCCCUGCGGGGUUUCGGAGCCCGUGUCAUCAUCACCGAGAUUGACCCCAUCAACGCACUGCAGGCUGCCAUGGAGGGCUAUGAGGUGACCACCAUGGAUGAGGCCUGUCAGGAGGGCAACAUCUUUGUCACCACCACAGGCUGUGUUGACAUCAUCCUUGGCCGGUAGGUGCCAGAUGGGGUUCCUGGAGAGUGAGGGAGGAGGGCAGGGUUGGGACAGCUCUCUGUCCCUGACAAUCUCCCAUGGUCUUGGGCUGCCUGACAGGCACUUUGAGCAGAUGAAGGAUGAUGCCAUUGUGUGUAACAUUGGACACUUUGACGUGGAGAUCGAUGUCAAGUGGCUCAACGAGAACGCUGUGGAGAAGGUGAACAUCAAGCCACAGGUGGACCGGUAUCGGUUGAAGAAUGGGCGCCGCAUCAUCCUGCUGGCUGAGGGUCGGCUGGUCAACCUGGGUUGUGCCAUGGGCCACCCCAGCUUCGUGAUGAGUAACUCCUUCACUAACCAGGUGAUGGCGCAGAUCGAGCUGUGGACCCAUCCAGACAAGUACCCCGUUGGGGUUCACUUCCUGCCCAAGAAGCUGGAUGAGGCAGUGGCUGAAGCCCACCUGGGCAAGCUGAAUGUGAAGUUGACCAAGCUAACUGAGAAGCAAGCCCAGUACCUGGGCAUGUCCCGUGAUGGCCCCUUCAAGCCGGAUCACUACCGCUACUGAGAGCCAGGUCUGCGCUUCACCCUCCAGCUCCUGUCCUUGCCCAGGCCCCGCCUCUCCUCCCUAAGAGCUAACGGCACCAACUUUGUGAUUGGUUUGUCAGUGUCCCCCAUUGACUCUCUGGGGCCGAUCACUCAGUUUUUGGCCUCUGCUGCAGCCGUCAUACUGUUCCAAAUGUGGCAGCAGGAACAGAGGCCCCUCCUCAAGUCCCGGUCAUGAUGGAGGUCCCAGCCACAGGGAACCAUGAGCUCAGUGGUCUUGGAACAGCUCACUAAGUCAGUCCUUCCUUAGCUUCGAAGUCAGUAGUGGAGUCACAAAGCCCAUGUGUUUUGCCAUCUAGACCUUCACCUGGUCUGUGGAUUUAUACCUGUGUGCUUGGUUUACAGGUCCAGUGGUUCUUCAGCCCACGACAGAUGAGAAGGGGCUAUAUUGAAGGGCAAAGAGGAACUGUUGUUUGAAUUUUCCUGAGAGCCUGGCUUAGUGCUGGGCCUUCUCUUAAACCUCAUUACAAUGAGGUUGGUACUUUUAGUCCCUGUUUUACAGGGGUUAGAAUAGACUGUUAAGGGGCAACUGAGAAAGAACAGAGAAGCGACAGCUAGGGGUUGAGAGGGGCCAGAAAAACAUGAAUGCAGGCAGAUUUCGUGAAAUCUGCCACCACUGUAUAACCAGAUGGUUCCUUUCACAACCCUGGGUCAAAAAGAGAAUAAUUUGGCCUAUAAUGUUAAAAGAAAGCAGGAAGGUGGGUAAAUAAAAAUCUUGGUGCCUGA